AUUGAACGCUGGCGGCAUGCCUUACACAUGCAAGUCGAACGGCAGCACGGGAGCAAUCCUGGUGGCGAGUGGCGAACGGGUGAGUAAUAUAUCGGAACGUGCCCAGUCGUGGGGGAUAACGCAGCGAAAGCUUUGCUAAUACCGCAUAAGAUCUAAGGAUGAAAGCAGGGGACCGCAAGGCCUUGCGCGAACGGAGCGGCCGAUGGCAGAUUAGGUAGUUGGUGGGAUAAAAGCUUACCAAGCCGACGAUCAAUAGCUGGAUCGAGAGGUUGACCAGCCACACUGGGACUGAGAUACGGCCCAGACUCCUACGGGAGGCAGCAGUGAGGAAUCUUCCACAAUGGGCGAAAGCCUGAUGGAGCAAUACCGCGUGCAGGAUGAAGCUUUUCGGAGUGUAAACUGCUUUUCUGAAGGAAGAUUAUGACGGUACUUCAGGAAUAAGGAUCGGCUAACUACGUG
rnacentral:rRNA from 1 species